rnacentral:rRNA from 2 species
GACAGAGGGUGCAAACGUUGUUCGGAAUUACUGGGCGUAAAGCGCGUGUAGGCGGCAGGGCAUGUCGGAUGUGAAAUCCCGUGGCUCAACCACGGAAGUGCACCCGAAACUGCCCAGCUUGAGUCUCGGAGAGGAAGGCGGAAUGCUUGGUGUAGAGGUGAAAUUCGUAGAUAUCAAGCGGAACACCGGUGGCGAAGGCGGCCUUCUGGACGAUGACUGACGCUGAGACGCGAAAGCGUGGGGAG